GGUUAAGCGACUAAGCGUACACGGUGGAUGCCCUGGCAGUCAGAGGCGAUGAAGGACGUGCUAAUCUGCGAUAAGCGUCGGUAAGGUGAUAUGAACCGUUAUAACCGGCGAUUUCCGAAUGGGGAAACCCAGUGUGAUUCGUCACACUAUCAUUAACUGAAUCCAUAGGUUAAUGAGGCGAACCGGGGGAACUGAAACAUCUAAGUACCCCGAGGAAAAGAAAUCAACCGAGAUUCCCCCAGUAGCGGCGAGCGAACGGGGAGCAGCCCAGAGUCUGAAUCAGUGUGUGUGUUAGUGGAAGCGUCUGGAAAGGCGCGCGAUACAGGGUGACAGCCCCGUACACAAAAAUGCACAUACUGUGAGCUCGAUGAGUAGGGCGGGACACGUGGUAUCCUGUCUGA
rnacentral:rRNA from 1 species